UACGAAGGGGGCUAGCGUUGUUCGGAAUCACUGGGCGUAAAGCGCACGUAGGCGGCUCUUUAAGUCGGGGGUGAAAUCCUGGAGCUCAACUCCAGAACUGCCUUCGAUACUGAAGAGCUUGAGUCCGGGAGAGGUGAGUGGAACUGCGAGUGUAGAGGUGAAAUUCGUAGAUAUUCGCAAGAACACCAGUGGCGAAGGCGGCUCACUGGCCCGGUACUGACGCUGAGGUGCGAAAGCGUGGGGAGCAAACAGG
rnacentral:rRNA from 1 species